ACACCUAUGUCAGUCAAACCAAAGA
rnacentral:piRNA from 1 species